CUUGGGCCUGCCUUCUAUGUGGAAGUCUGGGAAAGCCGUCAAUAUGGUCAAUGGGAGAAGUGAGAGUUGGUGCCUAGUAAGAAAUGGAUGGAAGGUGAUUCUGAAGAAAUCAUGAGUGCAAGCAGGGAGAACUCCUUGAAUGUUACAUUUUCAUAGCAAGCCCCACCAACAAAUA